CCUACGGGUGGCAGCAGUGGGGAAUAUUGCACAAUGGGGGAAACCCUGAUGCCGCAACGCCGCGUGAGUGAGGAAGUAUUUCGGUAUGUAAAGCUCUAUCAGCAGGGAAUAGAAAAGAAGGUACCUGAAAAAGAAGCCCCGGCUAACUACGUGCCAGCAGCCGGGGUAAUACGUAGGGGGCAAGCGUUAUCCGGAUUUACUGGGUGGAAAUGGAGCGUAGACGGAAAGGCCAGUCAGAAAUGAAAGCCCAAGUAUCAACCAUGGGACUGCUUUUGAAACUGUCAAACUAGAGUAAGGGAGAGGUAAGAGGAAUUCCUAGUGAAGCGGUGAAAUGCGUAGAGAUUAGGAGGAACACCAGUGGCGAAGGCGGCUUACUGGACCGAAACUGACGUUGAGGCUCGAAAGCGUGGGGAGCAAACAGGAUUAGAUACCCUAGUAGUC
rnacentral:rRNA from 1 species